GAUGAACGCUGGCGGCGUGCCUAAUACAUGCAAGUCGAGCGAACAGACGAGGAGCUUGCUCCUCUGACGUUAGCGGCGGACGGGUGAGUAACACGUGGAUAACCUACCUAUAAUACUGGGAUAACUUCGGGAAACCGGAGCUAAUACCGGAUAAUAUAUUGAACGGCAUGGUUCAAUAGUGAAAGACGGUUUUGCUGUCACUUAUAGAUGGAUCCGCGCCGCAUUAGCUAGUUGGUAAGGUAACGGCUUACCAAGGCAACGAUGCGUAGCCGACCUGAGAGGGUGAUCGGCCACACUGGAACUGAGACACGGUCCAGACUCCUACGGGAGGCAGCAGUAGGGAAUCUUCCGCAAUGGGCGAAAGCCUGACGGAGCAACACCGCGUGAGUGAUGAAGGUCUUCGGAUCGUAAAACUCUGUUAUUAGGGAAGAACAAAUGUGUAAGUAACUAUGCACGUCUUGACGGUACCUAAUCAGAAAGCCACGGCUAACUACGUG
rnacentral:rRNA from 1 species